rnacentral:rRNA from 1 species
UACGGGGGGGGCAAGCGUUGUUCGGAAUUACUGGGCGUAAAGGGCUCGUAGGUGGCCAACUAAGUCGGACGUGAAAUCCCUCGGCUUAACCCGGGAACUGCAUCCGAUACUGGAUGGCUUGAGUUCGGGAGAGGGAUGCGGAAUUCCAGGUGUAGCGGUGAAAUGCGUAGAUAUCUGGAGGAACACCGGUGGCGAAGGCGGCAUCCUGGACCGACACUGACGCUGAGGAGCGAAAGCCAGGGGAGCAAACGGG